rnacentral:lncRNA from 1 species
AUCCGCGUUCAGUCUGCAGCCGCCACGUCUCAGGUUAGGGGCUAGAGCUGAGAUCUCUGCUGUGAGUACACAGCAAUUGCCUUAGGUAUUUCACAGCAGUAGUGAGCCACUGACUAAUAGAAGCACCUCUAGAGCAGCUCCAAAGACCCAAAGCAUCUGGCUGAGCCCUGGUGACCUGUACAUGGCUGCCUCUGGAUUUGACUAUGACAGGGACACCACUGGAUGUCUGGUGUUAUCCAUGCCGGAUUGACAGUGUGUGUCUGUCCUUCUAGCAUCUCCAUUUUCACUCUCCAUUUCUCUCUUCCCCUUUGAAUGUACUCCAAAUGCACUUCCUGCCCAAAUGGUAUCUUUAGCCUCAGGUGGAUGCUUUUGUACAGAAUGCAGCCUCUGCAGUUAUGCAUGGCAAUCCUGAGUUUUGAUCCUCAGCCUGGUAGACCAGCUCAGAAAAUGAGAGACAAGAAAGAUGCAGGAAUCUCUCAGUAACAGUAACAUUGGACAAGGAUUAUUUGUGUCCCAAAAAGUCUUAUAGUAAGAGAUGGUGAACUCUUUGAUCCUAUAUAAGAAAAAAAGUCCAAUCCACUCCAUUCUUAUACAAAGACAAGAGGACAUUGGAAAGACACCAAAGCACACGGCCAAGUGAGCACAUAGUGAGAGGUGGCCAUCUGCAAACCGGCGUGUGAGCCCCAGGAGAAGCUGCACCAGCUGAUACCUUGAUCAGAGCUGUAAGGGAAUAAAUUUCAGUUGUUUAAGCAAC